GAAACUACUAGAGAAGCAAAUUCCCGGAGACAAACCUCACUAUGGAGAGCGAAAGCCAGAAUUUGGAGCUGAAGCAUCUAGGUUUUGUUAGGAUCGCUGUGAUUCAGACGAUUGUUUGUGUUACGAAUCUGUAUGAUUACGCGAAGCAGAACUCUGGACCUCUGAGAUCUGCGGUUGAAAGUGUGGAGAGCGCUGUUAACACCGUUGUAACUCCUGCUUAUGAGAAGCUUCGAAUCGCGCCUGAUGAUGUUCUUGUUUUUCUUGACGAGAAGGUUGACAAAGCUACACAUGAGUUUGAUAAGCGUGCUCCUCCUCUAGCAAAACAAGCCGUUCAAAUUACGCAGCAUUUAAUUCAAAAAGCUGCUAGAACUGGACAAGAACUUG
rnacentral:misc_RNA from 1 species